rnacentral:lncRNA from 1 species
AUCGCCCAGUCGCUCGAUGGGGCACGCCGGCGGCCUACCUCCGUGUGUCACCUGCCCGCCUCUCAGCAGCAAGGAACGGAGCUUCAGCACCUCUUCAGUAAUGAUGAUGAAACUGGUAUUAACUGAAUGGCAUUUAUGGAUUUUUAACUCUAAUUCACAGUAAGCCAGAAAGCCAUAUGUUCAAUCCAACCAAAAAUCAUUCUGUUUUGCUGCGUGUCUCAUCCGACUGUGAGAAGUUUCAAGAUCCCUGUUUGUACAAAGAGGAAUAUAAGUGUUACUUGCCGGAGGAGCACAGCUGAAGCAGAAAGCGAAGACGUCUUAAUUUAUCCUUAAAGAUAUAUGAUAGAAUUAUUUAUUUAGGUAGAGUAAAGAGAUAUAUAUAUUUUUUUGGUGGUGAUGAAAAUGGCUCCGCAGAAUGCCGACGCAGAAUCUAUGCAAGUUCAGGAGCUCCCGGUGCCCCUGCCAGACCUACAGAAGCCGGGGAGGGCGGAGGCGGAGACGCGGGACGAGACCGUCAGUGAGGGCUCCAUCGACCGCAUCCCCGUGCGCCUGUGGGUGAUGCACGGGGCCGUGAUGUUCGGCAGGGAGUUCUGUUAUGCCAUGGAGACGGCGCUGGUCACGCCAGUCCUGUUACAGAUCGGCCUCCCGGAGCAGUACUACAGCCUCACCUGGUUCCUGAGCCCCAUCCUCGGCCUCAUCUUCACGCCUCUCAUUGGCUCCGCGAGUGACCGCUGCACCCUGAGCUGGGGCCGCCGGCGGCCUUUCAUCCUGGCGCUCUGCGUGGGCGUGCUCUUUGGAGUGGCGCUGUUCCUCAACGGCUCUGCCAUCGGCCUGGCCCUUGGCGAUGUCCCCUCCCGGCAGCCCAUCGGCAUCGUCCUCACUGUGCUGGGGGUGGUGGUCCUGGAUUUCAGCGCUGAUGCCACAGAGGGGCCCAUCCGUGCGUACCUGCUGGACGUGGUGGACAGCGAGGAGCAGGACAUGGCCCUCAACAUCCACGCCUUCUCUGCUGGCCUCGGCGGGGCCAUCGGCUACGUGCUGGGUGGGCUGGACUGGACCCAGACCUUCCUGGGCUCCUGGUUCCGGACACAGAACCAGGUGCUGUUCUUCUUCGCGGCCAUCAUCUUCACGGUGUCUGUGGCCCUGCACCUGUCCAGCAUCGAGGAGGAGCAGUACAGCCCCCAGCAGGAGCGUGGCGGGGACCCGGCUGGCACACCAGCCCCCGGCCCCCGCACCUGCGUGCUGGACGGCGGUGCCCUGUUCCCGGACGAGGUGCAGUCAGAGCAUGAGCUGGCCCUGGACUUCCUGGACGAGGGCCUGGUGCGGAGCAAGAGCGAUUCGGUGUUGCACGUGCCUGAGGCUGCACUGGGCCUGGAGCCCGAGCUCUUCCUGCAGGACGUCGAGCCCUCCAUCUUCCACGACGUCUCCUGCCCUGGCACCCCCCGCAGCAUCGGCCAGGAGCACGCCCCCACCCGGCCACCCCGCCGGCCCCUGCCACUCCGCGCACCCACCAGCGAGGAUGAGACCCUGCUGGAGGAGCCCCUGAGCGCAGCCAGGCUCCCGAACGGGGACAGCGCGGGGCUACAGGACGGCCCGGGCACCUGCAUCUACAGCCGGGCCGCCCUGAAGGCCCCCGCCACAGCAGGCCCCGCCCGCCGGCGCCGGCACAUGUUCCGCCGGCAGGCCUCCAGCACCUUCUCCUACUACGGCAAGAUCGGCUCCCACCACUACCGCCACCGGCGCGCCAAUGCCGUGGUGCUCAUCAAGCCCUCGCGCAGCAUGAGUGACCUCUACGACCUGCAGGCGCGGCCGCGGCAGCACCGCCGCCGCCACCAGAGCGGGGCCACCACGUCCAGCGGGGACUCGGAGAGCGAGGAGGGCGAGGGCGAGACCACCGUGCGGCUGCUCUGGCUGUCCAUGCUGAAGAUGCCCCCCGAGCUGGUGCGCCUCUGCCUCUGCCACCUGCUCACCUGGUUCUCCGUCAUCGCCGAGGCCGUGUUCUACACCGACUUCAUGGGCCAGGUCAUCUUCGAGGGGGACCCCAAGGCUCCAUCCAACUCAACGGCGUGGCAGGCCUACAGCGCUGGUGUGAAGAUGGGCUGCUGGGGCCUAGUCAUCUACGCAGCCACUGGUGCCACCUGCUCAGCCCUGCUACAGAAGUACCUGGACAACUACGACCUGAGCGUCAGGGUCAUCUACGUGCUGGGCACGCUGGGCUUCUCCGUCGGCACGGCCGUGAUGGCCAUGUUCGCCAACGUCUACGUGGCCAUGAUCAUGAUCAGCACCAUGGGCGUCGUCUCCAUGAGCAUCUCCUACUGCCCCUACGCCCUGCUCGGGCAGUACCACGACAUCAGAGAGUAUGUGCAUCACAGCCCCGGGACCUCCAGGCGUGGCUUCGGCAUCGACUGCGCCAUCCUGUCCUGCCAGGUCUACAUCUCCCAGAUCCUGGUGGCCUCCGCCCUGGGCAGCGUGGUCGACGCGGUGGGGACCGUGCGUGUCAUCCCCAUGGUGGCCUCCGUGGGCUCUUUCCUGGGCUUCCUGACGGCCGCCUUCCUGGUCAUCUACCCAGAGGUGUCCGAAGAGGCCAAGGAAGAGCAGAAGGGCCUGUCUUCCCAGCCGCUGGGCGAAGGCGCGAGCGGCAGCGCCGAGAAGCCCACCGUGCUGAAGCUGUCCCGGAAGGAGGGCCCGCAGGGGCUCAUUGAGACCGAGUCGAUGGUCUGA